ACUGGAACACGCAAGAGGGGCAGCCACCCCUGGUCUCAUUGGCACAUACGGGUCAUCCUCAUCUUCAUCGAAAGCUCUGGCUCUAUUUUCCACGGUCACCAUCGUCAGAAUUUUUCCCACUUCCUGAGUUCUUGCCACCACCUGAGCCAUGACCAUCUCCAGUGUUGCCAGAGCUGGAACCGGAGGCUUCACGGGCUCUGUCGUUGGGGACAUCUUCAGGCUGUGGGAUCCUUCCCGGGCUAGGUGCUGAGCGUCGGAAAAGGCUGGGUGGUACUGACGCGGCUCUCCUGGACCUGCGGGCUCUGGGCAGGUGCCCUCUUCCUCGCCUAAAGGGAGGCGGAGGCUCUCUGGGUGAGAUGAAGCGCCUGGUGAAUAGCAUCUCUUCCCUCUCACGGAUAGCUCUGAGGCGGCAAAACUGCUCCAAGCCGUAUCUUCUGAGCCAGCCACCAGGCUCCAGCGGGAGCAAGCCCAGGUGCCUCCUAGUGGACAGCAGGGUUAACAGGUGGGCGCCAAUACUGAUGCUGUAGCUGCGGCAUCGGGCUCUGUAUUCAUCUGCGCACAAGGCUCUCAUCUUCUCCAGAAACAGCUCAUGCAUAUUUUGGGCCACCACGGAGUCAUCCACUUGCAUCCACAGCUCCCCCGGACCUAUGACAGUGGAUCUGCCGACUUCCAAGAAGAAGUACUGCUCCGAGUGCCCACAGCGACGAAUGCUCAGCAGCUGGACGACCACACUGGCCACUUCGGUAUUGAGCCUUACAAACACUACCUCUUCGUCGGUAAGACACAGCCGGAACACGCCGCUCAGCUCUUUUCUGUGCCCCAGCCCCCUGGGUUUCACUACUACCUGCCACACAUCUUUGUAGAAGGGUGGCUCCGCCGCCGCUGCGGCCGCCAGGGCUGCCGGCUCUCCGUCCGGCAGUGCGCCUAGCGUGCCGCAGCGGCGGCGCUUGCUCUCGAGGAUGAGGCGGCUGAGGAGCAAGUACCAGCUUUCUUGUUCCGACUCGUUCUCGGCCACCAUCGCGAAGUAUUCGUCCUGGGUAAAAAGGGCAAUGAGGUGUCGGUACCUGGCAUCGGCGCGCUGGCUCACGGAGAAGCAUUGGUACAGGAUGAUCACGCGCCGUGGUGGGAUGAGCGCGGGGACCGCAGCACCGGAGGCGGCCGCCUCUGCUGCAGCCGCCGCGGCGCGGACACUGUGCCGGAACUUCCUGGCAUUUCGGUAGUAUUCGAGUCGAGCUGGAGCGUCUGCGGUCUCGAGUUUGAGCACGAAGUAACGCCUAUGCCCAUGCUUCUGCUUCCUCAGGUAGCCGCGUUUGCAGACUUCAUCCCCGACGGGGAGGUCCUCCUCUUCGGAUUCCGAGUCUGACCGGGAGCCAGUGGCUGUGGAGAGCCACAUGGCUCCCGGACAGGACGACCCGGUCCCAAUGAGUGCGGUCCGGGUUCCCGAGGAAAGGAGCGGGGUGGUCGCCACUGCUGCUAGAGCUGCGGAGGCUGCUGCUGCUGCUGAGGCUCUCAGUCUCCUAAGCGCUUGGUGGCCAGAGAAGGAGCAACUCGCCAUGGUGAUGCACCGUGGUUUUAAGGUGAGCGGAGGGGAGGGGGGGCUCGAGAAGGGAGGGCUUUGGGGGGAGAAGAGGCAGUCUCCCCCUGUCUGCCCGCCCCAGACCCCUCCCGCCUAGGCCCGCGUCCCCGCCCACUUCACUGGGCUCAAGGCAGUGGGCAAAACAACACGUGACCGUCGCCUCACGCGGCAGCUCGCACCACAGGCAGCUACCCCAGCGGUGGAGGGGCGCAAGCGGCCACCAGUAAAGCUCACAUUUUCCCUUCCGAUCGCAGUUUGCUCUAGUUCCACCCGCCUCUCACUUUGAGCUGUGCUUCUUAGCAGAAAAUGUCAGUUAUCUCUGGAAACGCGGCAAGGACCUGGGUCCUCAGACCUGCUACACACCAGGCUGCACACCAGGCUGCACACGCCUCCUCGCCCUCUCCACCCCUGACAAAAGCCAGGGACUCCAAAGACUCGGGAAUUACGGCGAUGCCUUCAAAAUUAACGCUAUCUGUACACAGAGUGUAUUUCUAGUCCACGAAAACACAGGUUUGCUAGAUGUGAUGUUUCUAUUUGAUUGAUGACGACUAUAAAAGUACAAAUUUGGGGGCCUGCGAAGUAUACAGCCAUGUUGGAAAAAGCCGGACUUGAUUCUUUUCUGAAAACCAAUAUUGAGCUGUCAAGAUAUUCCCCCCACAUCCCAGGGCAGUACUUUGAACUGUACCCUUAAGGAAUUAACAAAUAGUAACUUUCUUUGUCCUUGAAGGAGACCGAGAAACUUUAUGAAAAAGAAAAGCUCUUAUCUAGAACAAAGGACUGUAUGAAUAUAUACCCUUGAAUAUAUUUUGCAUCCUUUACUUCAGGAAGGUCUUUGCUUCAUUUCAGUUUACAAAUGAUAUCACAAAAAUAAUGAAUCUACUGCCUCCCUUCUUGGAGAAAGUGCCGGAGUGUAAGGUGUAAGUGCAACCUUCUAAAAACUGUCCUCUUCUCUUCUCUCCUCUCCUCUCCUCUCCUCUCCUCUCCUCUCCUCUCCUCUCCUCUCAGUCUCUGCCUUGUCUCUGGCUCUCUCAUCUCAGAUAGCGACAGGUUGAGAUGUUAUUAAAGUAUCAAAGAAGCGACUGCAUUUGAAAAGAGGGAUAGAGGAACGCAUAGCAUUUCUCUUUCAGAGAGAGAGAGGAAUGUCAAUUUACCUUUCCUAUCGUAGAUACUGCAAAGGGGAAAUAGUUAUAAAUCCAACAGCAAAAUAGGCAGGGAUACAUUAUAAAAAUAGACUCCAUCUCCUUUUUUCUUAAGAAUUCUCUUUGUUAGCAACAGAAGAACUACAUUCAAAUAGAUGGCACUUUCCUGAUGGUCAGGUUUAGAGUGGGGGAAGUGGUUUUAUUUGGGCCCCAAAGAUUAGGAACAGUCAUUAACAUGUCUUUUGCCUCCAGCCAGUGUAUUCACAGGUGCUAGAAACAACUGUGCUUUUGGAAAUGGGCUGGAGGCAGGAUGAAUAAGGGGCUGAAAGCAGCAUGAAUGUGAAUGAACUGGGGUCUCUACCUACAGGUUUCAACUGCUUCGUUACAUAUGUACAAGGUUAAAUGCACUUAAAUUCAAAACGAUCAUGGAUACAUUAAUUUGAAGUUAUAACAUUUUACAACUUUAUAAAUUCACGGUUUUGCUUCUGAUAGAAUUGUUAAAAAAAAGACAAUGCAUUUGAAAAUACUGUAACUUAACAUUUAAAAAUAUAUCAAAUACAUUAAGGCUCUUGUUAAAUAGAAUUUGGAAAAUAAUGAACAAAUUCAAGAAUCCUUGUGUCUCUACCACCUGUGUAUAAACAGUUUCUACAUGGAGCAAUAUAGACUUACAUGUAAUUUUGAUACCUUAUUCUUUUCAAUCAGCACUAUAAGGUAAUACUUUCCCAUAUUUCUAUGAUACCUAUACAGUUGUGGUAAAACAAUAUAUUGUCUGUUCUAAGGUAUGUUGCUAUAAUUAAUCAUUUACAGUAUUGUAAAUAACACUCCAAUUAAUAUCUUGAAUCUACUUUAAAAUGUUUAAAUAAUUACCUUUGCAGACUGGAGACUAGAAUUACUGGAGUAAAAUAGCAAUAUUUCAUACAUAAUUUAAAAAGUAUUUUAUUACUUUAUUCUUCUACUACAUUAUUUGUUGUUAUAUAUUCUUCAUUUUUAAAAAAAAUCCUGAUAUACAAAAUGCUAUCCCACUGUUAUAAUUUUAAUUUUGUUUGUCAGUAAGGUAAAAUGCUUAUUUGUGUGUCUACCCACUAUGUUUUGCCUUCUAUGAAGCAUCUUUUUAAAUCCUUGGAUUUAUCUAUUGGAUUCUUAUUGUAAUAUUGAUUUGCUUAUAUAAUAAAUAUU